CAUCUGAACACAGUUCCUCUUUCAGCUGCAAACGUUUGAGUGCGGAAGAGUCCAGUGAAGUCCAGCUGAGAGAGAUACAGGAUUUGCUCGUGUGCUGGUCGUGUCAGGUGGACUGUAGGUCUGUAAAGAGCUCUGCAGAAGUCCUGAGGUGGUGUAGUUUUUGAGUAGCUGACAGAUCGGUCAGUAGAGGGGGUUGUAAGAGUGGUCAUAUCUGCAGUCGUGCUGUCUCUGUAUGUAGUGAGGAGGCUCUGUAACUCAGGAAGAAUGCAGGUUGGUUUGUAUCUUCUGCUUGUGCUCCACAUUGCUGAAGGCUGCAAACUGAAAGAUGGAAAGCAAGAAAAGAUUACUGCAUACACAGGAGGGUCAGCACUGCUGCCCUGUUACUGCACUGACCCACAAGCCACACCUGGGAGAUUUACCUGGAAGAAACUUAGCACAGGCAUAGUCAUAUGGGAAGAGAUGUCCAGUGAAAGUGGUCAGUACAGAGACAGAGUUCAGCUGGGUAAUGGUCACUCUCCAGGAAAUCUCUCUCUACUCAUAUCACUCCUGACUGAAGAGGACAGAGGAUGGCACAGAUGUGACGUUGAAGGCAGCAUCAAAGAUAUCAGACUCACUGUUGAAGGCUGCACUCUGACCAACCAUAAGACAACAUUAAAUAUCACAGCUCAUACAGGAGGGUCAGUACUGCUGCCCUGCUCCUGCGCUGAGCUACGUGCCAAACCCAAGACAUUCACCUGGAACAAAUACAUCAAUCAAAAUUGGGACAGGAUAACCUUUGAAAGUGGUCAGUAGAGAGACAGAGUUCAGCUGGUUAAUGGUCACUCUCCAGGAAAUCUCUCUCUACUCAUAUCACACCUGACUGAAGAGGAUGGAGGAGUUUACAGGUGUUAUUUGGAAAGUGGAUACACAGACAUCAGACUCACUGUUAAAGGUAAAACACUGGUUUGUUUUCUGAGUGCAAAGUGUGUUGAAUGAACUGUGUAAGAUUUGUUAUCCUUCCAGUACAAAUGCUCCAAGAAGAGCUUUAAUGAGGGUUCUGUAUUGAGGGUGUGAGCAGUAGUUAACAUUUUCUCCAGUAUAUGAAUGUUUAUCAUGUUCUAUAAUGUCUACAGAAGGGACAUUUAUAUUGUCUCACAGUCCCCACACUGGGACUCUGUAUUGGAUCUUUCCAACAAAACUCCAGCCCCUCAUCACUGCUCACUUGGGUCUUUUUAGCCCUGUUAUCUCAGGUAUCUGGAUCUGCUCUGUCAUUGUGUUUGCCUUUUUCUAGUUUCUCCUUUAGUCCUGUGUUUGUAUGAAUGGCUUUAGUUUCUACAUUGUUUGGUGAAGUCAUGUUUACAUGUUUAUCUUGGAAUUCUGAGCCUGUUUCAGGUCGUGUUAUUCUGUUAUUUCUGUUGAAUUUUGCUCCUGGUUUCAGUCUGUUUAGUCUGUCUUCUAGUUAUUAGGCUGUGGUUUGUCCUGGGUCAGUCCUGUCUGGCUUCACUCUGACACAUGCAAGAGUUAAACACGGUCUUUUCUAGGAAUCCUCAAGCGAAUAUGCUUUUGUCCUUUAGCCUCAAGCCCAUCAUUUAGAAACAUAUAUGGUUUGUUGAAGACUGUUUCAUGAAGAUGCAUCUCAGGACAUGGAGUUACUCCAUACUUUAGUACAUAGUAUUAUAAUCAAAUUGUACAAUUGUACAGCAACGUCUUUGGUAGGCAACAUCAGUUUCAUUUGGUUGUGCAGUGCAGGUUUCUUAUGAGAACACAGCCAUAACCAAUCCAGCUAAAGUAGUGAAGCACGUUAUUGACAUUAAAUUUCCGUCUCAGUUUUAAAGCAUAUUAAACUAUAUAUGUGAGAUCACUGCCUCGGUGUAAUUUGAUCUUUUGCUAUAUUUUAUCCAUUGAUAGCUGAAGUCCACACAGCUGAGAUUUCCUGCUGUGUUAUUAAUCACAAAUCAUGCUGGUUCACUGAAUAGUAUGCAAAUAUAGUGCCGUACUUUUAGAAGGACACUCAUUAGUGUAGUAGAUAAAGUACAGAAGCUUGAGGAUUUUUAUGUAACAUUAGAUCAGCCAGUAAGACGUGUUCAAUGGUGUAGCAGCUCUGGUGACUCCUUAUAUCUGCUGUUCAGCUCAUAAGCAGGCAUGAAAAAUUCCAAGCAGAAGUUUGAGGUAUUUCAUGAGUACAGAUGCAUUUAUUGAUGUAAAUUAAUGUUGGUAAUUGAUUUUUUUUUAACUUAUUUGUGUUGAGCUGAUUUUAGCUUUUUUAUUCAGCAGCUUCUUUUUCAUAAUAAGGAGGCAAAUAAGGAGCUAACUUUAGCGUUAUGUAUGUGUAGGUGUUAAUUAUUUCAAAGCUUUUUUAAAUUUAAUUUUAGUAACAUUUUAAUUAGUUUUCAUAAAAAUCUCACACACUUGGGAGAUUUGCAAUUCAUACGGAUCCAGUCCACCAAUCUAGCUAAUCUGCUCACUGUAGCGUUUUCUGAAGACUUUAUCUAAAGUGUCCACGUAUCUUUUCAUCUUUUCUUGCUUGUUCUAAUCUGUUUUUCUUGGUCUUCAUCCACCUGCAGUGUUGUUGCUGCAGAAAGGGUGAUUAGAUGAGAUCCAUCACAGCAAUUGGUCUCCUCAGUUCCCAAACGGCCACUUUUUUGGAACGUGUUGUUGGCAUUACUUAUUAGAUACUGUCAAAGUUUCCUCUCUUUCCAGCAGCUCCAACACUGAGAACGUCAACUCUACCUUCUUCCACAAUGUCUUCUCAUGAAGGAAAGUCAACCCUGAAUGUUGCUGCUGGUGAUGCAGAACCUCAUCAGUCUCUGCCCUUCGUCCCCUUUGCCUUGGUGACUGUGAUCUUUCUCCACAUUAUAGUAGCUGUGGUUUAUCACACCAAGAGAAACAAAGUGCCAGAUGCUUCUACAAUUUACUACAGCAAUGAUGAAGAAGAUGGAGCAGUGAUUGUACAGUAGAGAAUAAAACCAACAGACAUCAACAGACCAGCUACUGACAACACCUGAUCUGCUGACCAACUCCUGAGUUUGACACCAGAUCAAAAGACCAACUUCUGAUUUCAUCCUAGAUCAACAGACCAGGUCUUGACAUUCACGCCAGACCAACAGGCCAUUUAAUGACUUUCAAUCCAGAUACCAGCUACUGACUUCCACACCAGAUCAACAGACCAGCUACUGACUUACAUUCCAGAUCAACAGACCAGAUAUUGAUUUCCACACCAGAUCAACAGACCAGCUAUGGACAAAAACACCUGAAUAAAAAGAUUUUCAACUAAAAACAUAACAAGAAGACCAGCCAAUGUCCAACAGACCUAAUGAAUAGUUCACCUAGUGACAAGCACACAGAGGAACAGAGAACUGGAGUUUUUACUCAUAUGACUUGGUUGACCCUCAGAACAGGAUAUGAACAAGUGCCAAUCUGUUUUUGCCCUUUAGAUAAUAAACUGCAAAAUGGGCAUUUUUUACUGAAUAUAUUUUUUCUAAGUAAUAAAAAAUCUGUACAUCAUAUCAGAUAAUAUGUAAAUAUAUUUGUAGGUUUUUU